CCGACCUCCUCGCCCCGCCCCCUCCGUCCCGCCCGGGCUGCUCGCCCCGCCCCCGCGCGGCGCUGGGAGGCGGGAGCUGUCUCUGAGAACCUGCGGGAGAGCGCCCGGGCUUGCUGCUUCCCGGACCCGCGCGUCUCUCGAGCACCCUCGUCCCACCACCUUGUGAGGCCGUAGUGUUAUUUUUAUUUUUUAGAUCAGCAGACUGAGACUCGAGGUGACGUCACUCCGCAGAGAGGUUAGCUGACUUGAAGAAAACGGGUAUCUCCUCUUUCCAUUUCGCCCGUGUAAACAGCCGAACUGCCUAUUAUAAAAGCAUGGACUGCCAGCAUUGGAGUGGUCCUUAGAGGCCUAUUAUGAAAUCAUAGAAUGUCUGCAUUGGAAUCGCCUCACCUCCUUUUACCGCUGGAGAAGCCGACGGACAGACGGGCAGCGACCCCCGCCGUCGCACAACCCGUCUAGGCAGAGAGCGCAGGAGACGGGAGGGCGGCAGGGACACAUCUCCCAGCCAAGGACCUCCUGGGCCCGCAGAGGCCGCGACAGGUUCCCCCCACAGAGGGAACCAACUCUGCCGCAGGUUGAUGUGGACUUCAAGCCUGCAGAACGGAGAGCCCAUUUCCAUUGCUUAAAGCCACCUCGUUAGAGCACAGCAGACUGAGCCACCCAGAACUGGCCCCUCCGGUGGACCAGCCCCUGCGGAUUCACAGACCACUGGUCCUGGAAGGGACCUUGUCAAGCAGGCCCAUAAGACUUCAUUAUCAUGGUUGCCUGACCCAACACAACAUAUUUGGAGGAGGAGAGGGGACACUUUUAUUGUACCCCAUCACGUGGCUGAGUCAUUUGGCUCUCCAUUCACUGGAACAGACGACUAUGGACACCACCAUUGGGUUUCCCACCAAGGACAGAGUUCCAAAGCAACAGUGGCUUCCAUGGUUGGCUCACCCAGCCUGCCUGAGUCAUCAGCUAGGUCCACAGAGUAGAGAAGUGGGUAGUGCCCCCGCCUAACAUCUGGAAAAAUUCCCAAAAGUUGUGACUUCAUGACCACUGAGUCAGCAGCAACUCUUUUCUUGCCAAGAAUAGCACAUUGUUCUUUUCCUUUUCAGGUAAUCCCUCCCCGGAAAGAGAAGAUCACAGAUUUUGUCAUAUUAAAUACAUUGUAGAAAUUCAUGGUAGCAGGGGCAAGAUCAUUUAAACAAAACAGAAAGUUUCAGAGAGAGAAAAAGCCAAGGACAAAGAUUAAUCAUUUUUCUGCUUAAAAAAAAUGGCUUUGAUUUGCAACCAUGGAAUGCUCCACUGUUUCUCUUCUCUUCAAAGACAUCUACUGAAAGGAUUCCUUAACCUUACCAAGUGGCCAAAAUACUUUUCUGAGAAGAGUCACAGAGCAUAGGCCCCCCUAGGGUACACAGAGAUUUCAUUAGUCCCUAGAUGUUUCCUGAUCCUUUUAAAAACUGGUUAAAUUCAGAGACUCUAGGCAAUUACUUCUUUCAGAACCUGUGAGGCAAAAACGAAAGAAGAAGGCAGGACACGCAGUGUAACAAACCUUGGAAUGGACUUCGCCAGACUUCAUCAGAAGAAAGCAGUGCAAGAGGGGACUGCAGAGGAAAGCUGGGGCUUGGGAAACCAGCAGCAGGGGCCACGUGGGCAGGUGGUUUCUGUGUGAACCUCUGAUCUGUGCAACAUAAACAGGAAAUGUUGAAGGCUUCCAGUGCUCUUUUUUGAUGUCGAGAACAUUCUACGGCACAAAAGAGUUUGCCUCUCACUGUUUCUCAUAUAUGGAGGUUUUCUAAUCAGCAUCCUGAACAGAAUUGAAUUAAAAAUAAAAACC
rnacentral:lncRNA from 1 species